AGCGAACGCUGGCGGCAGGCCUAACACAUGCAAGUCGAACGGAUCCUUCGGGAUUAGUGGCGGACGGGUGAGUAACACGUGGGAACGUGCCCUUUGGUUCGGAACAACUCAGGGAAACUUGAGCUAAUACCGGAUGUGCCCUUCGGGGGAAAGAUUUAUCGCCAUUGGAGCGGCCGCGUCUGAUUAGCUAGUUGGUGAGGUAACGGCCCACCAAGGCGACGAUCAGUAGCUGGUCUGAGAGGAUGAUCAGCCACACUGGGACUGAGACACGGCCCAGACUCCUACGGGAGGCAGCAGUGGGGAAUCUUGCGCAAUGGGCGAAAGCCUGACGCAGCCAUGCCGCGUGAAUGAUGAAGGUCUUAGGAUUGUAAAAUUCUUUCAGCGGGGACGAUAAUGACGGUACCCGCAGAAGAAGCUCCGGCUAACUUCGUG
rnacentral:rRNA from 1 species